GUAGUGGUGAUUUCUCAUCAACUAGUCCAGAAUAGGCAAAUGGUCUUAAAUGAUUGAAUUUUCUUGCUUCAAAUUUCAGGACAAUGAGAAUACAGUUUCCUCCGGAAAAAUCUUAGGCUGAUCUUGGAAGAAAGACCCCGUGGAUCAUCUAAAAAUAAAGUUUUCUAUUUAAAGAUAUUAUUGUUGCCACUUUAUAGAUGAAAAAACGGAAGCAAAACCAUUAAGUGCCUUCCCCAAGGUCUUAAAAGAAGUCACCAAGAAGGUGGUGUGGCUCAAGUCUCCUGACUCCAGUUUACUAUUCCCCGCAAUAAUGUUGGAAAACCACAUUGGAACGGGAAGACUCAUUCCAAGUACUGCUGUCACACCAGCAAGCUUCAAAGAACAUCCCUGUAGCUAAAUGGUGUUCAAAGUAAACAUGGAGAACAGAAAGCAUCCAUCUCUACCUAGUGGGGCAAAAAAUGACUGAAUUCCCAUACCAUAUAAAUACCCCAUGAAAACACAGAGGAAUCCUUGAUCCACCCAGCAUUCACUGAGUAUCUGCCUCGUGGCAAGCACUGCGGAUGUGCUUGGAUACAAAGAUAAAUAAAACGUGGGCUCCACUCCCA
rnacentral:lncRNA from 1 species